rnacentral:piRNA from 1 species
UUUGUGUGUGUAACUCACAGGGUAAGCCUC